AUUUUUUUAGAAAUUUGAUGAUGAUUGUUCUCAACCAUCUUUUUCAAACAGUAUUACAAUAUUUACGUCGCAUGCUUUCCGUAAUUAUAAAAUUCAUAUUCCUAUAUCUUAUAAAAACAUUUUUCCCAAGCGUAAGUUUAAUGGUUUUUCGCUUUAAUUAUAACUACCCAUUAAGGAAUUAAUAAUGACAUUGUAUCUUGCUCAUGUAGGGAAUACAUACCACGGUUACUGAUAUCCCAUGACAUUUUAAGAAAAGAAAUUAUUUAACCAGAACGAUUUUAUUCCACGCCUAGUCGAGAUCAACCAUGUUGAGCAAGAGGAAAGAGUUUCUGACGAUGAGAAAAAGUAACAUGACUGGGUAAAAAGCUUCUAGUAGAGGACGAAUGACAAAUAAAACUUCAGAAGCAAGAAAAAAAUUAUGUCAGACUGAAGGAUGUUUGGUUUACCAGCAUUUUAUGGAGAGGUGGAAAAAGCACUUGUGGUAGCCCAGAGGAGGUUCGAAUCGACGAUCUGGGUUGCUGUAUGUUUUUUUUUUAUUUUUUAAUAUAUUACGUAUCGUGUGCUAUAAAGCCGUGCACGCCCGCUAAACAGCAAACUGCAAUACACUCAAACAUAUAAUUACCCGCGUAUUUAUUUUCCCGCAACAAGCCUUUAGGACAGAUUGUUUUCAAAAAAUUGAAAGUUAUAUGAAAAAAAACUGAUAAGCAGGGACCGGCCAAAUUUGUGGAAGUCCAUAUUUAUUUUAACUGUAAAAAUAAUUUCCAAUUCGAGAAAUUAAUUUUUUUGCUGUAGAGCACGUGCUCUAGUUGCUAAUUUUGUAGUAGUAAUAACAAAGAUGCAAUCAAGAAUUUAAAUUUCACUUUAAAAUAAUUGUUUGAUUUGAAAGAAACUUUACUAACAGUGAGGUGAUAUUCUGCUGGAGUAUGAACUUAACAUUUUUUAUCGUGCAUUUUUUAAUGUUUUAAAGAAAUGACUUAACAAAACUUUCAAUAAAGAAUUAACCAACUAAGUUAUUGAUAAAAAUUGUAAAAACAAACUUAGAUGUUGUCAUCGUGCUUGAGCCCGUUGUCGUGUCUAGAAGUUAGAAAUAGGCUAUGUUUAAAAUAAUAUCGCACUAAUAAAAUGGACUACAUUAAAACGCAAGAUGGAUCUGAAAACUGGUCUUCGACUGGAAAUAUAAUUUAUUUGAUUUAUAUAUAUAUAAUUUAUUUAUGCGCCAAAUGAAAUAGUUUUAUACUUUCUGCGUUGUGAUAUAAUGUUUUUUGUUUUUCGAAAUAAUAAGUAGAAAAAUAAACGCUCAGUUUUUCAAUUUUCUUUUCCAUCGCCUUCUAUUAAAUAAACAGAAAGUUAUAAGUGCUGAAUAAAUUCUACUCGCCACCUAUCCUAAUAUUCGCGAUUUUAAAGAAAUUCGCAAUUUUAAGAAAUCAGUUCCCUUUGUAUAUGUUGGUUUUCAAUUAAAAUAAAUAAUUUCAUAUUUUACGCAGCAUUUAGUUUCGAUGAUGUGAAAACAAGGCUUGCCUACUGUUAUGAAGUAGCUGUAAAACUUUAGUUUGCGUCUGCUGUUUAAUAUAGUGCUAGCCCGCGAAAAUCACAAUGAAAGUAAAUGUUAAG